CCCUUCGGCUCUUCGGCUCUUCGGCCCCUCGGCCCCUCGGCCCUUCGGCUCUUCGGCGCUCGCGGGGGCUGCGCCGGCCCUCCGCGGCCUUCCGCCGCGCUCUCUACAGCUCCCUCCGCUCGUCCGCGUUUAAUUUCCCCUUUUUCCUCAGACACUUCCGGGUCCGGCGUCGCUCCGGAAGCCCGCGCGUCCCGGAAGCCUGGGUAAUCCCGGUUCUGCUCGGAGAGGCCGAGCUUCCCGGAGAAUGUUUCAGAGAAAGUUACGUGGGCCGGGGGCGUUCCGCAGACUCGUCAGACCUCUCCCUUCUUAACUGCCUGUCAAUAAGGUCAGUAAGUCUCACAUUGAGAUCACAUACACAGUGGAAUCACCUGGAGAUCUUGAAAACCAAGUAGGUCUUGUCUUCAGAGAUUCUGAUUUAAUUAGUG
rnacentral:lncRNA from 1 species